GGCAAGGGCGGCAGCCUUACACAUGCAGUUCGAACGGUAGCACAGAGAAGCUUGCUUCCUUCCGGGUGACGAGUGGCGGACGGGUGAGUAAUGUCUGGGAAACUGCCUGAUGGAGGGGGAUAACUACUGGAAACGGUAGCUAAUACCGCAUAACGUCGCAAGACCAAAGAGGGGGACCUUCGGGCCUCUUGCCAUCAGAUGUGCCCAGAUGGGAUUAGCUAGUAGGUGGGGUAACGGCUCACCUAGGCGACGAUCCCUAGCUGGUCUGAGAGGAUGACCAGCCACACUGGAACUGAGACACGGUCCAGACUCCUACGGGAGGCAGCAGUGGGGAAUAUUGCACAAUGGGCGCAAGCCUGAUGCAGCCAUGCCGCGUGUAUGAAGAAGGCCUUCGGGUUGUAAAGUACUUUCAGCGGGGAGGAAGGUGUUGUGGUUAAUAACCGCAGCAAUUGACGUUACCCGCAGAAGAAGCACCGGCUAACUCCGUGCCAGCAGCCGCGGUAAUACGGAGGGUGCAAGCGUUAAUCGGAAUUACUGGGCGUAAAGCGCACGCAGGCGGUCUGUCAAGUCGGAUGUGAAAUCCCCGGGCUCAACCUGGGAACUGCAUUCGAAACUGGCAGGCUGGAGUCUUGUAGAGGGGGGUAGAAUUCCAGGUGUAGCGGUGAAAUGCGUAGAGAUCUGGAGGAAUACCGGUGGCGAA
rnacentral:rRNA from 1 species